CACUGCAGCCGUCGUUCUCUGACCUGUUCUCGGAACGUGUUAACCUGCUUUCUGAUCUAACUGACGGUGCAAGUAGUCAUUUAACUGCAGGUCAGCACAUAUCUAUGUCCAUUUAACUGGUGGCGCACUGAUCCUCCUGGGCAGCAUCGCAGUCGGUGACCCUGCCGAGUGGCGUGGUGGAGCGGCCCUUGGCCGGCUAGCACAUCACGAGCGGCUGUGGCGUGUGAAAUCCUUAAGGAUUGUAACCGUCAGGGGAAUAGAUAAGAGACCAUGUCUGUUUUGACCUUUUGGUACCGUGUUUUAUACAGAAUGGCAAGGAUAGGCCAAAAAUCAUGGAUAUGUUAUAUAGUCCUUGUUCAUACUUGGGGACUCCAGUAUGAUGGAUUGUGCUUGCUAACGAUACUAUUCUUUCUUGUAUUGCAGAUUAUCAAGACAUUCCUGAUCACAUUAAACCAGCAUAGUAAGCUAUCAGAUUUCUUAGUUACACUGAAGUAAGUACAACUAUAGGUCAUACUUCGCCCAUGGAGUUGGAUGAAGCAGGUUACACUGGUGGCAGAGAUCUCAUAGCAUGUGUGCACGGUACCACCCAUAGUGAAUCAUCAGUAACUAAGGCAGCCAGACCCACCAGAUUUCAGAGAAAGGUACAAAACAAACCUAUAAGCAUGCUAAAGGCAUCAAUGGAUAUAUAUACGAGGUAUGAACAUGACAAUUGAUGAAGGCCGUGAUGGUGGUAUAUGCACACGUGGGAGUUGGCUUAUUGAUCUCCCAGCAAUUGGGAAUGAUAAAUGGUGAAGGCUUUUAUGCAAGUUCUGUCCUUAGUAGGUACUUAAAUAUCAUGAUCAUUGUGUUGUCCCUUCCUAACAAUUCUGCAUCAUAUCGAUUGGCAUUAUGCAGGUUUGUGAUACACUACUUUCCAUAAAUCUUGUUGAGCGCUAAGAUUUUUUUGUAACCAUGAUCAUUUGAGAUUCUCUUUACAUUGUUUGCCGCCAUCCUCAUGGAUAUGAGUGAAGAAGGGUUCUACUAAACUUGUCGAGCUGAUGCAUAUGAAGACAAAGUAUUACGUAGGAUUUCGUUUUGAGAAUCUUUUUUUAUCCGAUCUACACAUCUGGAACAUUCCCGAGCUUCCUUCUCACAUGAAUAUCAUAUAUCUAUAGUUAACAGCAUAUUUGUGAACCGUAGUGAUAGAAAUUGAUCAUGGGAGACUAGCGUGCUAUCACAAGUUGAUGUUAAAAAGAAAAGCAGUGGCAA